rnacentral:rRNA from 1 species
UACAGAGGUCUCAAGCGUUGUUCGGAUUCAUUGGGCGUAAAGGGUGCGUAGGUGGCGUCGUAAGUCAGGUGUGAAAUCUCGGGGCUCAACCCCGAAACUGCACUUGAUACUGCGAUGCUUGAGUACUGGAGAAGGAGAUUGGAAUUUACGGUGUAGCAGUGAAAUGCGUAGAUAUCGUAAGGAAGACCAGUGGCGAAGGCGAAUCUCUGGACAGUUACUGACACUG